rnacentral:rRNA from 1 species
CUCGAGCGAGAUUUUUUCGUGUAGCAAUACAUGGAAAAGUCUAGCGGCGAACGGGUGCUUAACACGUGGGCAACCUGCCGAGAAGUGGGGGAUAGCUCGCCGAAAGGCGAAUUAAUACCGCAUGUGAUCAGAGUGGACAUCCAUUCAAAAUCAAAGUCGGGGCAACCUGACGCUUCUUGAGGGGCCCGCGGCCUAUCAGCUAGUUGGUGAGGUAACGGCCCACCAAGGCUAUGACGGGUAGCUGGUCUGAGAGGACGACCAGCCACACUGGGACUGAGACACGGCCCAGACACCUACGGGUGGCAGCAGUCGAGAAUUUUUCUCAAUGGGGGAAACCCUGAAGGAGCGACGCCGCGUGGAGGAUGAAGGUCUUCGGAUUGUAAACUCCUGUCAUUGGGGAACAAUGCGUAAAUAUUAACUGUAUUUGCGUUGAUAGUACCCGAAGAGGAAGAGACGGCUAACUCUGUGC